rnacentral:rRNA from 1 species
AGUGAACGCUGGCGGUAGGCCUAACACAUGCAAGUCGAACGGCAGCACAGUAAGAGCUUGCUCUUACGGGUGGCGAGUGGCGGACGGGUGAGGAAUACAUCGGAAUCUACUUUUUCGUGGGGGAUAACGUAGGGAAACUUACGCUAAUACCGCAUACGACCUACGGGUGAAAGCAGGGGAUCUUCGGACCUUGCGCGAUUGAAUGAGCCGAUGUCGGAUUAGCUAGUUGGCGGGGUAAAGGCCCACCAAGGCGACGAUCCGUAGCUGGUCUGAGAGGAUGAUCCUCCACACUGGAACUGAGACACGGUCCAGACUCCUACGGGAGGCAGCAGUGGGGAAUAUUGGACAAUGGGCGCAAGCCUGAUCCAGCCAUACCGCGUGGGUGAAGAAGGCCUUCGGGUUGUAAAGCCCUUUUGUUGGGAAAGAAAAGCAGCAGGUUAAUACCCCGCUGUUCUGACGGUACCCAAAGAAUAAGCACCGGCUAACUUCGUG